GGCCCAGCCAUUGCUACACACAUGCAAAGGCUAUCAACGACGAUGGUCAUCUAUCAGGCAACACCUCACGACAAAGGCGCCGU
rfam:Pseudomonas syringae strain GAW0119 contig16.1, whole genome shotgun sequence.